CUUUGACUAACUUUAUCAAAUUUUCAAUGGUCAUCCUUGGUGCACUCAACUUUCUUUGUGGGCAAUCGAUUACCUUUCUAAGUGGUAGUUUCGCUAAAGCAAAGUUUGACGAAUGUCGGAAACAAUUAAAUCUUAUUUUGAUCAACCGUGAUGAUCUAAGGUUAUAUCACAGAAUAAAGUUGCUUUGUUCGGCCGAUUAUUUGAUCAAUCACCAAUUGUUCUACAUCUUUGGACACUUUGAAUUUACUCGCGUAAAUUAUCUUCUGGUGAUUCUGGAAAUCAUAUCACACCUGUUGCUGCUCAUUGCUAAUGCUGGCAUUAACUGAACAAAGCUCAAAAGGGAACUUCACUAAGUGAUACCAACCGAUUUUGAUGUUCGCUAGCUCAUUCGAAAGCGCUGAGUGAUGGAAGACAAAAGACUGAAUUUUAAUAAAAUAAAAAGAAUCUGACAUUUCAAAAUUAUUUAUUUUAGAUUACAUAUGAACUCACGCAUCAUUAUUUUCUCUAAUUUCCCUACAUUUUU